UGGUCUCCUAUCCUCCCACCCAUCCGUGACCUGACUCUGUCUGCAACCCAGUCACGUACCCUGCUUGUGCCACCAGGGCGGAGUUGAAGUUGGAACUGAAGGCCGAAGCAAAGCCGGGGAGGACAGGCGCAGGAGCUGCUGCACCUUCUGGGCGCCUUCACAGGAAGUGGGAGGGAGUGCUCCCACUGAGACGCCCCACCUUGGCCCAGUAAUCAGGUUUCCGAGCUGCUCUUCUCCCCGAGAACUCCUAUUCCUCCCUCUGCAGAAAGCAUCUCUUCCUGUGGCCCAUUCAUGCCUGGGGAUGAAGCUGCCACCAGGAGGCGCCACCAAGGCCACCUGUCUUCAGUCCCUUAGCUGCUCCAGAGCCCCUGAUCAUUUUCCACAUUAGGACUUACUAGACUUAUUAUCUGUCAGAAAGGGUUAUCUUUGUGUGCACAUGAAAAGCACCUUUCCCAUAUCAGAAUGCUAAGUGAAUACGGAUGUACAUGGCAUGUGACCUUUACAUUUCACAGAGUCUUGCAAACAGGACACAAAGUCACUAAAUUAAUUUAAAUUCA